rnacentral:rRNA from 1 species
UGCCAGCCGCCGCGGUAAUACGGAGGAUGCAAGCGUUAUCCGGAUUUAUUGGGUUUAAAGGGUGCGCAGGCGGAAAAUUAAGUCAGUGGUGAAAUCCUGCAGCUCAACUGUAGAACUGUCAUUGAUACUGAUUUUCUUGAAUUUAGUUGAGGUGGGCGGAAUGUGUAAUGUAGCGGUGAAAUGCUUAGAUAUUACACAGAACACCGAUUGCGAAGGCAGCUCACUAAGCUAAUAUUGACGCUGAGGCACGAAAGCGUGGGGAGCGAACAGGAUUAGAUA